rnacentral:rRNA from 1 species
GAUGAACGCUAGCUACAGGCUUAACACAUGCAAGUCGAGGGGAAACGACAUCGAAAGCUUGCUUUUGAUGGGCGUCGACCGGCGCACGGGUGAGUAACGCGUAAGCAACCUGCCCUUCAGAUGGGGACAACAGCUGGAAACGGCUGCUAAUACCGAAUACGUUCUUUUUGUCGCAUGGCAGAGGGGAAGAAAGGGGAGGCUCUUCGGAGCUUUCGCUGAAGGAGGGGCUUGCGUCUGAUUAGCUAGUUGGAGGGGUAACGGCCCACCAAGGCGACGAUCAGUAGCCGGUCUGAGAGGAUGAACGGCCACAUUGGGACUGAGACACGGCCCAGACUCCUACGGGAGGCAGCAGUGGGAAUAGUUGCACAAUGGGGGAAACCCUGAAUGCAGCAACGCCGCGUGAGUGAUGAC